CUUUUAAAAGACCAUUUUACACAUCUCUACAUAAGUACAUGUAUGCCUAUUCAGUAAUUAAUUAAUUUUUAUCCUACAAAAGGGUGUUCUAACCUUAUGCAAAUAGAAUAGAUAAUUUAAUUACCUACGUAAUUAAUUUUCUUAAUUCCAUUACGGUGAAAGUGUUGGGAAAACAAGACGCUCCCUAUGUAUUGCAUAAACGGUAAAACUGUAUAGAAAUCAAUCACAACCACCUACUUUAAUUAACUUUAAAAAAUAUUCCAACACAUUAUAUUGUACACAUAUACCUAACGAUAGCAUGUGCGGUAAUUUUAGGGUUUCAUAACUAUGGUAAAAAAGACAACCCCUUACAAAAUCACGUAUCGUAGUCUUUUUUUUCGAUAUAUUUUUGAUUCUUUUGUAAAUCUUAACUUUAGGUUUCAUGAAUGGAAUGGUUCGAACUAUGGUUGUAUUCAAGUUUUUUCAACUGAAGAAAUAAUAAAUAAAACUGUAAAAGUUUCUGACAAUGAAGCCAUUCUUGCUAGAAACCAGUCUCUAAUUAUAAAGGGCCCCCUGUUUUCAGCAGUAUUUCUACUUCUAGUCGGAUUUGUUUGCGGUGUUUCAGUAUUCGCAUAUUGUCUUCAUAUGAGACGAAGUGAUAGACAAAUGAAAGUAUCUUUGGAAGAGCUAAGAACUAAAAAACAUGAACACAACAGAAGUACAACACCAUUACCGCCUUUCCCAAUUCCAUCUAAACCAAUGCGUAUACAUUCAACAAAAAGUUCACCAUUUGUAUAAAUAUUUAUUGUAUUUACAUACUUGGGUGUAUACUACGUUUAAUAAAGUUUAAUUUUGUUACAUUUUGUGUAA